GUUUUUGGCAAAACCUCAAUCCCGUCUCCCUUGCACCCGUCCCUUUAGAAAUUCUGCAGUGGAUCAUCAGCUUGGUAAAAACAGGCUUUUUGGGUAUCACACUUCUGUCACCAUUUGUCAAGACUUAGAGUGACACAAACGCUUGAUGAGUGACUGAAAGGAGAUAGAGGAUGGACUUCUUUGACAAAAGCUGCUGAGAACAUUGACAAAGUGAACCAGCCGGUGUGGAGCAACUCAGCCAGAGCAGGAAGUCAGUGCAGAACACAAUUAUUCGUGCAAGAGCUGGGGAUGCAGAAGAUGUGGACUAAGAUGCUGUACAAGCUUUAGGGGGAUGAUCAGAAGAUGUCACACUUGUUUCAAAUUCCUUGUGCAUCAGCCGUGGCUCACAGAAAGUGGACAGUCCGGUGGUCAUCAUUCCUGAGUAGAGGACAACUCACUAGUGACCAAUUAGUUGCUGUUUGUUCAUGUGCGAGCAGACUGCAAGGAGGAGAACUGAUGAUAACCUGGGUGGUUGAUGUCUUGGAUAACACUGGGUUGCAAGAAAAAAAAAUAGUGAAAACCGGGAUUCAUCCGUGAAGAGAACACCUCUCCAACGUGCCUGACGCCAUCAAAUGUGAGCAGUCGCCCACUCAAGUCGGUUACAGUGAUGAACUGCAGUCAGGUCGGCACCCCGAAGAACGAAACAAGCAUACAGAUGAGCUGCUGUCUGGGUGAAUGUUUGAGAUGAUCUGGGAGCUGAACAUGGUGGAUGUAGAGGUCCUGGGCUGGUGUGGUCAUCCGUGGUCUGUGGUUGUGAGGUUGAUUGGAUGUACUGCCAAACUGUGUGAAACACUUUUGGAGACAGCUUAUAGUAGAGAAAUGAACGUCUGAUUCAUGGAGAACAGCUCUGGUGUACGUUCCUACAGUCAGUAUGGCAAUUGCACACUCCCUCAGAACUUGCAACAUCUAUGGCGUUGUCUUGGGAUAAAACUGCACAUUUUAUAGUGGCCAUGCUAAAGCACACCUGUGCAAUAAUCAUGGUGUCUAAUCUAAUAUUUGAGGGAAAUGGCCCAUUGUGUACAGUAUGUACAACACAUUUUAGAUCUUGGAGUCCAGCUCACGAAAAAUGGCAGCAAAAACAAAAGUGUCAUGUUCAUAUUUUUGUUCAGUAUAUAUAAGCAAUGUAUCAUCGAUCUUGAAAUGUUGCUGACUUAGUCAAAUUUAAGUCAAGCUGUCUCUCCAACUAAUAUUUCCAAUUCCUUCAUUUCAAAUUUCAUUUUGCAGUUGGAACGCUCACCCAAAUUUUCAAUAGUGAAAAUAAUCCGAGGUACAUAAAGCUUCACCAGUACACACAAAUUGUUAGAGUUAGUGAACACACAAUUUAGCAUCUGCUAGUUGGGAUCAUAGUAAAACAUCACAAUCCUAAUAGUACACACACACAACAUCUCCUCUAACAUCUGACACAGUCUGUACAAUUGCGCAAUUUGCCGCCCGCUUUUUAGGAUCUUAGAAAAUCAAUCCCGAAGUGAUGGAUUUUGUGUGAUUUUAACCACAUUUUAUGAAAACUACACUUGGCUUAUGCAUGAGUCAAGUUGGUGGCAACAUCUAAACUGUGAACAUCAGCAUUCAUCACUAACAGAGAAAAAAUAUGCAAGAAACAAAAAUUGCUGUGAGGCAAUAUGAAAUGUCAAAUAGUGCAUGCAAAGCUGAAACCUCAACACACGCAAAAUAGCCAAGUGUGUCCUCACUUUUUAAAUGGUGUGACCGACACUUUGAAUGAAGGCAGCAUCAACACCUGCUGCUGCAUUUCAACCAAGGAGAGUUAGGGAGUCAAGAUGGAAAACAGCAAUUGUAACACCCUGACACACACACACAUUUGAAUAAUCCCAUCCAUCCAUUUUCUGAGCCGCUUAUCCUUACGAGGGUCACGGGAGUGCUUCAACCUAUCCCACCUGACAUCCGGCAGGAGCGGUGUAACACCCUGACUUGGUUGCAAGCCAAUUGCAGGACGGAUGGAGACACACAAUAGUGGUAUUCACAAUCAUACUUAGGAGCAAUUUAGAGUCUUCAAUUAAUGCAUGUUUUUGGGAUGUGGGAGGAAACUGCAGUGCCCGGGAAAAACCCACACAGGCACGGGGAGAACAUACAAACUCCACACAGGGGGGCAGUAUUUGAACCCCGGUCCUCAAAACUGUGAGGCCAAUGCUCUGCAGCUGCCAAUUUGAAUAUUUUUUUUUGUAAAUUUGACAAUUGUUUAUUUUAGAAGUCAGUGCCCUUCUAUUGUAAGUUCAAACAUGACAUUACUUUUGUAAUGUUGCGAAUUCUCUGCCACUUGUGAGAUCUCACUCUCUUUUAAUACUAGAAACUGUAUACUGAGGGCAUGACUAUAAAGUUGACGCUUGUAAGUGUACAACAAAUUAAGAUAUGGAAUUAUUCUAUGGAUGGGUUUAGUGUAUGUUUUUGUCUUGCUGAUAAUAGACAUCCUGCAAUCAGUACAGUAUAUUUAUUUUGUUAUGGCGACAUACAUGCGCACUUCCACUACAUUUGCACCAUCUAAUGACAUAAUUCUAAUGACCUUGGGUAUGCCAUGCAAAGUCACCAAUCUAUAUAUAACAACUAAUCACGGACUACAAAUGGGAAAUACUGUAGUUCCAGUAAGUCUCUUUUACUGGUCCAUUUACACUUUCUUGUUUUGAGGUCAGUGAUCAGCGACAUCUUUCAGCGUCACCAUGGACACGGAAAACUUAGUACAAUAUUUUGCUACGUUUACGGAAAUCCCCAGAUAUCGCCCUAUAGGCCACUUCCUUUAAAGGCACUUCAAUUCAAUACAUGUGAUUGUGAGUGACUUAUUCCUUUUUUUAUGCUCAUAAAUCUAUUUACUCCUUAGAGCAUUGAUUUAGUAAACCAGGGGACAUUAGUUUGUAUCUCACUUGGAUCUCUAGUCCCCAAGAGGGGUUGCGUCAGGAAGGGAAUGGAAGGGCAUUCGGCAUAAAAACUGUGCCAAAGAAAUAUGAGCGGCACAAGCCAAAAGAAACUUACUUACUUUUUACAUUCUCUUUUAUGGGCUACUAUUUAUAUCUAUGUUUUAUAAUACAGUAUAUUUUUCCUUUAUUAAAAAUCUAACAAAAAAUGUUGGCCUUUUUUUGGAAGCUGAAUGGAUUAAUACCCUUUCAGCUCAUUUCAAAGGGGAUAACUGAUUUUGCAAUUAUAACAAGGAAAAUUUAAAUUCUCGGUUGGUCAUGGACAAAAUUAAACUCAUAAGUCAAAAUAACCACUCUAUUACCUGAUGUAUUGUUAGGGACUCCAAAUUAAGAUUCAACUAUCUUUGAAAGAAAGAAUCAAUACCACCCAAGUUGUUCAUCUGAGCACUGUGACUCAAAAUCCUGUGGCCUAAAUCUUGUUAGUAUAAGCACCUCAAAACACCAGCAACCUCUAUGCUUUUGUUUCUGAGCCCUGUGAGUCCCUGAAGACAAUGUAUGGAAGCAAACUAAUUAAAAGUAAAUUAUUCACAGGAAGAAAAAAAGUGAAUAGAAAUAUGUGAAUGAAGAUGAUUUAUGAUUGAAAUUAGAUAAAGAAGCCAAAUUCCUCUUUUUUACCCUUCCAUAUGAGCUGAAGAGAAUCUUUGAUGAAAAUACUAUUUCAUUUUUACAAUGGAAGAGAUACUCGUACCUAUUGUGUGAUGUAUGUGGAGUGUCAUUCCUCUUCUCUACCCCCAAAAAAGAACAUCUUUUAUUAAGGUGUGACUUUGUCAUCCCCUUCUUAUUUUGAGGGGAUGGUAGCACACUCCUCGCUCUCAUCUCUUCACUGGACUAUGCCUUUUUCACAGAUCCCGAGACAGACUCAUAUAAAUCUAUCAAGUCAUCUGAGAGAAGCACAGGCUUUGGGUGUGAUAAUGACUUACAGGAGGGAACCAAUGGAGAUCUGCAAAACAUCGACACACAUUCAGGCUUACUCAUACACACACAUUGGUGUGCCAUCCACACCUCUCCACUCAAAGAAAACUGUCCGAUCCCCGCAUUCAUCCUAUCCCCGACCAUCCACAAUCUAUGUCAGCUGCAAAAUUGAGGUGGCAACGCCCAUCAGAACCAUUAUAAUGUGGUGAAAGACAGCAAAGAGCAGGGGAGUUGGAGGGCAUUGCCAGUCCUACUAAAAAGCCGAGGUACCAUCCAGAGCUCCCAGUCUCAGUGGGUAGCAAUGGGGAGUGGGCCAGCCAGGGUGGUAAUAGAGUAAAUAACUCAAAUGAGUCAGAGUGUGAAUUACUUCUUUGACGGGCUGGAUGGAAUCCUGCUGUGAGUCCAACCAGGGGGUCCAGCCAGGAUGAGCCUUGAAAACCUGGGGAAAUGGGUCUG